rnacentral:lncRNA from 1 species
AACUAACCUUAGCUUGUGUAUAUAUAUUAACUAGGGUUUCACCCUAUCUAUGAACUCCCUAUGAAACAAUCUCCAAUUGGCUUCUCCUCCACUUUUGAGCCUCUCAAAACUGCAACAGUCACCCAUAUUCCUCAUCCCAAUCAUACAAAAAUAUUAUUCUUUCUUAUUCAAUAUGCACGAGUAACAAAAAUUAUUACCUCUUAUUUUUCUUUUUUUCUCCUCCUCAAAUCAGGUGUUAACUUUAAAUUCCUUUCUCUAAAGUACUCUUUAUACGAUUUCAUUUAAUAAUUGAAGAGGUAUAAGUUCAAUUUUCUUUAAUUUUGUGAUUUGGGGUUAACGUAGAAGUCUAUAUUAAGUUUCAGAUGUUGGAUUUAGAGAUUUUUUUCGCUUUAUGUUAUCUCGAUUUAUUGUCUAAAUAGUGCAGUGAUUGUCAAGGAGGUGGAUCUGGAAAUUUCACGUUGGCUCUCUUUUGGGAGGUACAAUUUUUAAACUUUAUCUUAUAUUUUUCUCUGUGUGUUAAUUUUUUAUUAUUUAAUAUUAAAUUUAAACAAGAAGAAUGAUAAUAUCAAAAGAGAAAUUAAAAAUAGCUUAAUUGACCAAAAUAAUUGCAGAUCUCACUCAUUAGUGUAUUCUUUGUUUAUGUUUCUUGUAUUCUAUUUGUAAUAGAUUGCUUUAAAUUUUGGAAUAGAUUUAACCUUAAUGCAUGUCUUUCGAUCUUGUUGUACUUGAGUGCUUUCUAACAAGCAAUAUAAGUCGUUGUCCAUGAUUGUGUAUUCACUCAAAGAUGGUCCAUUAUAUGUUUUCUUCACCAAUUCAAGGUUAAUACUCUUGUCAUCAAUGUAAUUAAAUGGGAAAAAGUCAUUAUAAAAUAAGAUAAAAGUCUUGUUAAAAUAUUAGAUCAAUGUUCUAUGAUAAUACAUUCUAAUAAAUGAGUUAUUAUUUAUUUGGUUGUUAUUUUAAUACUUAAGGAAUUAAUCUCUUUUUUUACAUAAUAUAAAUAAUUUAAAAAUUAUAAAUUUAUUACAUCAUCAUUACAUGAAAGUGAAUAUGUGAAAAGAAUUCAUUUUUAACAUAUUCGUUUUUCACAUUAAAAGAAUUCAAUUUUGGGAAAGAAGACUAAAGAAUAGUUAAACGACAAUAAUAUAAGGUAAAUAUGAUUAAAUGGUUUUUCUUUAAACAAUAUUUUUGACUUUAUUGUAGAGAUAUGUCAAAAAUUUAGUGCCUUACAUAGAAGUUCAAUUAUUUUUCUGCAUGUUUGAACUUUGAACAAUUAGCAUAUUUUCUUUAUGUUUUAAAAUACAUUCAUAUUUACUAUAAUUUAUAAUGUUUAAAAUUUAAUUCAUAUCUCAAUUUAAAAACGAUAAAAUAAAGGACAUGAUAACUUAGUUAUAAUGAGUCAGUAUGUAUUCCGUAUAACUAAGAGUAUUAGAUAUUUUUUGAAUUAUGAUAUGAUAAUGUGUAUCGGCAUGGUGCAUUUAUGGCAUGGAAAAUUAACUUAAUUUACUAAGGUAAAGAUAAUUUUACAUAUUUUUCAGAUAUUUAUUUAAGACUCUGAACUUCCAUUAGAAGUAGGAUUUUAAUAUUGUAAUAUUACAACUUCUUCUUUUCUUUGCAUCAUGUUUACUUCUUCUUUUAUUAUUUUUACCCUCUUCUGAUGAAUUGCUUGUAUGUGAUACAACUCACCACUAUAAAGAAGUUUGAAUCCCUUUUCAACACAGACUCAUCUUCCUCAUAAUCUUCUUUGUUUUCUUCUUCAAUUUUUUCUUCUUUGGAAUUUUUAUAUUGAGGUUUCACCUUCCUCUUUCUCUAAUUGUGUAUCCUCGUUUUCAACAAUUGGAUAACCACUUCCAAUACUACACGAAUCAUAAUUAAUAGCCACACCAACAUUUGCAUUACCAAAAACAUUGUUUAUUUCUUAUAUCAUUGUGUUAUCUUUACCACUGCCAUUCAUUGUAGUGUCAAAAACAAAAUGAAAUAUAAUUAUCCUUUUUGGCCGUCAAGAGGUAAUAAUGAGAUGAAAUAUUUUUUAGUAUAACAAAUUCUUAUAUGAGGAAUAACAACUUAUUUGGUGUUGUUCUUCCACAUAUAUGAAGUUUUCAUUGUUGUACUUAUAUAUAUAUAUAUAUAUAUAUAUUUCAUGUCAUAGUUACUUCAGUAAAAAAUAUUACAUUUUUUUAACCUACAAUAAAUGGUAGUAGAAAAAGGAGACAACUUUACAUGCACCUAAUGAUGCUAUUGGUAAUACAACUAUUGAUGUCACUAUAGAGAAUAAUUUUGGAGGUAAUUGAAGUGAUUACUCAGUUGGUAAAAAUAAGGAUAAACAAUUGGAGAAAGAUGAAAGGAUGAAUUUCAUUUUGAAAAAUAUAAAAAAGAUCAAUAUGAAGAUGAAGAAGAAAAAGGAAAAGAAGAUGAGAACAGGGAAAACAAAGGUAUAAUGGUUGGAAUGUUACAUGAUCUUAUUUCUUGUAAUCUGAUGUAUUUAAUUCAAGCAUUUCAUUGUAAGAGAGUGAAGAAGGUAAAACACUAAUUACACAUUUAGUGUUUUUAGGAAAGUUUCUUUUUUUCUUAAUAUACAAUUAAUUUUCUCCUUAAUACUUCAAAGCAGUUAUGGUAUAAUAUCAAAUAUUUCCAUAAUAUAUUUUUCUUAUAAGUAUCUUUGAAUAAUUUUAUUAUUUAUGUCAAAUUAACAUAUUUGUUUUGUGAAACUAUAUAUGUGCUAGCUUUUUCCUUAUUAGAUUGGAGAUAGACUUAUUUUUCUUUUUGUUAUACUUUAUUUUAUUUUUAAAACAAAUAUGUUGAUUUUGUCCUAUUUCUUUAGUGGAUGGAUUAUAUUUUUAUUUGUUCUGAAAAUGUGAUCUUCAAAUACUACAGAUAUAAGGUUAUGUAUGAACUUGGCAAUGUCUUUAUUAUUGCCAAAUAAGAUGAUAGAGAUGAGGUAAAAUUAUUCCACUCACAUAGAUUAUUUUGAUGAUAUAAGCUUAUAUAUAAAUUUUCAUAUAAUUAGGAAGACGUUUUGAAUUUAUUUUUUAAACUUUUGAAUUUUUUAAUCAGUGAAUCUAAUCCAUAUAUUUGACAUUUGUAAUGUCUUUAAUACUGAGAUAUCUUAAAAUCAUUCCACGUAUAUAGAUUAUGUAGUUUUGGUAAUAUAAGCUAAUAUAAAAAUAUUCAUAAUAUUUGGAACAUCUUUAGAAUUUAUUUUAUAGACUGCACAUUGGUAUAACUAAUGUAUUUUUUAAUCACUGGAUCUAAACAAAUAUCAUGACCUUGCCAAUGUUUUUAUUAUAUUAUUUUAAAGUUAGAUGGGGUAAGUAUUUUUCUUUUAUAUUUUAGUUUUCAAUUUUUCUAAUUAUAUUAGCUUGUUGUUUCUUUUUAUUUCUUGAUAUCUAACCGUUAGAUCUUGACAAAUUUUAUAAUUUUUCAAUUAUUAUUAUCUUCAUUUUGGUAUAUUAUUUUUGAUAAUUGGUGUCGGUUUUCUCCAAUUAUUUUCAAAAGUAAAUAUAUGUCUUUAGUUUUUCUUUUUCAAAUCUUUAAAAACUGAUUAGUCCAAGAGUUGUGAAACAUUAUAGUGUGGCUCCUCAUCACUCAAGCUUUGAUUAAACAUAUUAUUUGCGACCCAAUGUCACCAAAUUUGUUAAAAAAAUUAUUUAUGUGUUUAUGUGUUUUGUAUUAUGUGUUUCUUUUACCCAUCUAGUGAAAUAAAUGCUUAAUUUUUGUUGUAUGUAUUUUGUAUUAUUGUUCAUUUGUUUGUAGCUUGAUUAGACCUACAACUAUUAUAGACUUAUUGGAACUUAUUCUUGUGUAUUCAACCUACAGAUUUGAACUGUCACUUACUAUAUUGUCCCCAUAAAGUAUGAUUCUUUAAUUUUUUAAUCUUUAACAAUUAAAAUAUAUUGAUCCACUUGUCAUAAAUUAUGAGAUAUUAGAGGGUUAUUUGUUACUUUACAUCGCUAUUACUAAAGUUCGAUUUCAAAAAACUAUCUUCUAUUUUUUGUGUUUGUCCUAUUGGUGUCCAUCUACUAGGAAUUAACCUAUGAUUUGGCAAUUCAAAUUCCGGGUUUCCGAAUCGGCUAGACCAGUUUAAAGUGAAAUAAUGUUGUUUUUGUUGUUAGCAUUUGGUUUGAGGAGAUUGUGAUACUUUAAGAGAUGAUAUGAUAUGUCUUUGACGAUGUUGAUAUUAACAGGCCAUAUCUGAUGUGAGAAGAAGUGGUUUUGCUUAAUGUGCGAAUAACUUGUGUGUCUUAGCAUGCUAUUAAUUGAGAUAUGAUAAUUAUUGUUGUUAUAAAUUGUUCAAUUCAUUUGUCCUAAACCUAUAUAAAUAAGAUUAAGACCCGGAGAAUAGAAUUUAUUGCCUUUGAAGUUCUCCAUGCAUUUAAGAAAUAUUUCUUGAAAUAAGAGACAAAAACCUAUUAGAAACUCCUCAAGAGAAAUUCAGUCAACUCAAAAGAAUAGGGAGAUGAAUUUUGCUUACCAUCAUAGCUAGAGAUUCUGAUAGCCAUGACCAAUCCAAAACUAUUACAUGUUCGAAUCUCCAUGAAAAUAAUUUUUAAUAAAAAAUAUUUUGAGAUGGAAUGAAGAAAAUGAUAAAUAGUUUUUAGGUGUUCAUAGCUUGACAGUCAUCAAACAAUAUCAAGAACAAGGAGUGAAUGAAAUAUUUGAUAUUAUAGGAACACCAUUUUGAAGUAUGAAUGAGAAUUAUAACAAAAUAAUAAUAGAAGACAAAUCUUUUCUAAGAACAACCAAAGUAGAAUUAGUGCUUUACCUUCUUCACUCUCUUAUGACAAAUUGUUUGAAGGAAAUACAUCUAAUCACCAAAAACAUGAUCAAGUAUAUAACAUUCCCAUCAUUGCACACCCGUGUUCCCCCUUCUCAUCUUAUUUUCUUCUUCUUCUUCAUCAUAAAUCACUCCUUUCGAUUUUUAAAUUGAGGUUCACUCUCUUUCACUUUCUCCAUUUGAUUAUCCUCAUUUUCACCAACUGAGCAAUCAUUUCAAUUACAACCAAAAUCAUUUGCUACAGUCAUAUCAGCAGAAUGUAUUAU